rnacentral:rRNA from 1 species
CGGGUACAACGAGAAGCGAACCUGCGAAGGCAAGCGGAUCUCUUAAAGCCGUUCUCAGUUCGGACUGUAGGCUGCAACUCGCCUACACGAAGCUGGAAUCGCCAGUAAUCGCGGAUCAGCACGCCGCGGUGAAUACGUUCCCGGGCCUUGUACACACCGCCCGUCACACCAUGAGAGUCUGUAACACCCAAAGCCGGUGGGAUAACCUUUAUAGGAGUCAGCCGUCUAAGGUAGGACAGAUGAUUAGGGUGAAGUCGUAACAAGGUAAC